UAUCUUCACAUUACCAACAGUACCUGAUCUAAAGAGAACCUGUUCUUACCUUAGCCACUCAGUCAUUUAAGUUAGCCUAGCAAAAAGGUAAUAGAGGAAAAAGAAAAAAUGGAGGAAACAGAGGAUCCAGUGAGAGGAGCUUCGCGACCCCUCUACUCGUUGGCACUUACUGGUGCCCUGAAGUUGUCCCACUGACAGCCACGUGCCGAAGCGUGCCGAUCUUUUGUCACAAGUUCGGUCUCUUCUUCGACCCAACAAGGGGGAGGAUCGUCGAGAUUCAACGUGCUAGGACACGUGUACCAAAUAGGCUUGGUGGCCCAAAGCCUGUUUGCUUCGACCAAGGACCACCGUAGUGACGGUCUAGGACACAAUGAAGCGUGCGGUUCUUGAGCUGCCCUUCAUUGGAAGGAUCAAAGUUCUCCGCAUGAAACCAUCAUCGAGGUGUAUAUUAAAACAGAAACUUAAAACAGAAACACGAGAAAUUGACUAUGACUCCACAGUAUUGAAGCUCUGUCGUUGCUUUUUCACCUCUGGGAAUUCACCAAUCCGUGCGAUGGUUCGCACGCGUUGAAGCUGUCGAGCGGAAACGUCGAUUUCUCAGCACCGGUUAUCGGCGUUCACCUUCGGCGAUGGAGGGCCUUUGAUUGGCACGAAAGGUAUCCGUUCGUCGCGACAGAGUGUUGCGGAAAAAGGAAGAACUCCGGUUUCGGUGUCAGUGAAGACAGAAUGUGAAAGACGGCGUCAAGACGAAACGAAUACAGGGAACAGAGACAGAGUUAGUUCGAUUCAAUUUAACUAGAGUGCGUGUAGGUAAAAAAGAGGAAACGAAUGACAUGAAUUUCAUUCUGUGAGUGUUGAAUAGAUGAUUGUUUGAUACGUCUUUAUUGAGAAUUUCUCGAUCAUUUUAAAGAACUUUUUGUGACGUAGAAAGUAAAGAUGAUGUAUAAAAAAACAGAAGAUUGUAGUGGUACUAUGAUCGUCAUGGAAAAUUGGCCGUGCAAAUGCUGCUUAACGCUGUCGAUAUAAACAUACACGUCGGAAUUAAUGAUACACCGUUUAGUUACGCGUCAGUUGAUUUUCCCAGAGCACCGCUUUUGUGCUUAAUAGCAGACGGGGGAAGCGGCUCAUGGGGCACUGUGACCCGCCCGCUUCGCUGCACUCUUCAAUAUGUCACUGUGGCUAAUUUUAGGGGCACACCGUCGACCACCGCAACGGCGACAAAGUCGAUUCCUUUCAGUGAAUUUACCUCCUGUAACCGAUUUUCAACCGAUUUGUUUGCUUCAUUGAAACUCUUGAGAAUUUUACCUUCAUUUUGAUUGAACACCAAAUUUGAUGUAUUUCUUGGAGCGAUGUUGAAAUUCGAGAUUUGGAGAUUGAUGUGUUUGGUUGUUAGGAGAACUUAUUUGGAUGUUGUUCUAAUAUAGAUUGCACGGUCUUGUUCGUAGUUACGGUAUUAUAGUGAGUUCUAUUAUCAUUGUGCAGUUUCAUUGAUUUGAAAUUGAUUUAAUGAAAAUGACGAUGAAAUUAAAAAAUUAUAAUAUUGUAAGAAUGUUUGUAACAGUAUUUUAAUAUUAUCGUAGAUAAUAUUCUAUAUUAAUAAACUAAUAAAAUUUUUAACAUACAAACUUAAUUGAAUAUAUAGUACACAAAAUUAAUUUACGACUUUGUGUGUUAUUUUCUAUAUUAGAUGUUAAUAUAAAGUAAUAUAUACUUGAAAUUUUAACUGUUCAAAUAAUUUGCUAUAAACUUUCUUUAAAAUUAUUUUUCAUAAUACGACGUGAAAUUUUGUCACUAAAAAAUGAAAAUUGCAAAAUUACAAAAGCCUGAAUUAUGCUUGAAGGUUCGACUCGCAAUCACAUCAAAAACAAUCAUCUUCAUGAUGACGAUGGAUUAUCAAAUAACGAUGAAAUACGUCCGGAUGUAAACGAGUCAAUAUGUUACAUAAUUGUCAGACCAGUUAAUUACCUCACUCCAGCCUGUAUCGUUGCGAUCUUGUUCCCUGGCGAGAUA